rnacentral:lncRNA from 1 species
ACAUGUAGUACAUUUGAUGUGACCAAAUGCUAUUCAGAAUGAAGAAGAGUUGAAUGAAAAUGCAGCCAAAGGGCAAGAUGCCCCCCAUUAUGAUACCAGGCAAUGGUUUUGUGAAAAAGGACUGUUCCGGGAUUUGGCGAGGAAUCUGGUUUGUACGAACUGGGUGUUCAAUAGGCUUCUCUUUGAAGCCAAAAUAUGCACCGAUAAAGGUCAGUGGGACUGAAAUUCCAAACCACAUGGCUAGGAUAGCAACCAAAGUACCAAAAGGGAUGGCAGCUGAAGAUCCUUUCACCCACAGAAUCAGGUUCAUAAUGAAGAAAUCAGCAAAG